rnacentral:rRNA from 1 species
GAUGAACGCUGGCGGCGUGCUUAACACAUGCAAGUCGAACGAAGCACUUUAUUUGAUUUCCUUCGGGACUGAUUAUUUUGUGACUGAGUGGCGGACGGGUGAGUAACGCGUGGGUAACCUGCCUUGUACAGGGGGAUAACAGUUGGAAACGGCUGCUAAUACCGCAUAAGCGCACAGCAUCGCAUGAUGCAGUGUGAAAAACUCCGGUGGUAUAAGAUGGACCCGCGUUGGAUUAGCUAGUUGGUGAGGUAACGGCCCACCAAGGCGACGAUCCAUAGCCGACCUGAGAGGGUGACCGGCCACAUUGGGACUGAGACACGGCCCAAACUCCUACGGGAGGCAGCAGUGGGGAAUAUUGCACAAUGGGCGAAAGCCUGAUGCAGCGACGCCGCGUGAGCGAAGAAGUAUUUCGAUAUGUAAAGCUCUAUCAGCAGGGAAGAUAAUGACGGUACCUGACUAAGAAGCACCGGCUAAAUACGUG